GAGUGUAGCGAAAUGAAUAUGCUUCUAGUUCCGACAGUGCAGCAGGAUCUAACAAGUAAUCUAACAAUUCCACAACAGAACCCUAAUACACACAAAUCUAAGUAAAGGAAUGGAAUAAGAAUAUAUUAUAUGGAUGAGAUAAAAAUACACUCCGAGGAUAGGUGCUACAUCAGAGAUGACGUACAAUGGUUCCAGACACUCCCCCACACAUCUUAUCUCAGAAUUUAUCUCUAUGGUGGAAAAUUGCAAGAUUAUGUUAUAAUACUUGGAUUGCAUCAAAUGAUUGCUUUAUGCAACAAAAUAAGGGGUUGUUAGAACGCUCAUCUGUGUGUGAGUUCUCCUGAGGAUGGGCCUCUGGGAGAUAACACUGCCAGGAGAUUUACAAUGUCUUUUGGGUGAUAAAACCUAAAGAGACCGCAUUCCAGAGCAUGAGUUAAUGUUUCUGUUCUCUAUAGUACCAGGGAGAGAUGACCCCAGGGCCAUACCCUGGUAUGUACAAUGAAAGAAAACUGUUGACACAGCAGAUACUGUCUGCUGUGAAUUAUAAGUAUCUUUCAUACAAAUCUUAACCUUGUGACCCAUUUUAUACAUCUGUUGUUCGUCAUGUAGGUUGAAAGGGGUGUAUCUUGGCUAUAAAAUGCCUUUGUACUUUUGUCUCGGGGCUAACUCUGACUUGUGUGAUAAGUUUGUCUCUCCUAUUUUGAUAGUAAAGAAAUUAACCACCACAUCUCCCCCAAGUCCAAAGGAGGGAGUGAAUGGCGCACAGACAUUGUGGAGACAAGUAAUUGGUUCCCCAUGAAUCACAUGGUUUAAAAUGGGUAAAGACACAUUCACAUAUGAAGACAAUGUUCCCUCCUGUCCUCUUCUCUUUCUGAUAUUCUGCAUAGCACCAGGGACAUGUGAAAGACAAGCCUGACUUCUCCCCUCUCUGGGCCCCAGGUGACUGAGGCCCAUAUGAGGGAGGAAGUGCAACUGCCAACGCCAGAGUCCGAAGAGAUAUAUUCUAAUGACAAGAGUUCAACAGUUCAAUCAUAUAAGCAUAUUAUGUAGAUAAGACAUCUUAAUUAUCUAUGCCACAAAUGUCUGACAGAAAUGUAUUCUUUAUUUUCCUGUAAGGAUUUGUGUAGUUUGCUACCACCUUGAGCUCAACUUGCUUGUUGUUUUCUGGACAGUUAAGUAUUUCUUUUGACUAAUUUAUUGCAUUAUGACUUAACUGUGUACUGUGGUGGUUAUGAAGUUGUCAACAUUUGUUUGAACCUUGCGCCCAGAUCGUCCUAAGUGAGGAUGCUGUGUAGGAUGGAGAGAAGUUGAUCCACAACACGAUAUGAGAUGGCUUGUGAUGUCUGGUGGUGAGGACAAGUUUGCCUAAAAUGAAAAUAUUUCAAUGUCGGUCUUUUUUAUUUUUAUUGAAUGUGCAUGCAUUAGUAAUCUACUCUGUCAGUAUUAAUUUAAAGAGAUUUAUUUCAGAAUAGCAAAGUUUGGCUCUAUCAUUCAGUUGCAAGUAAAUGGUUCAAAGCAAGCUAAACUUCACUCUUCUCUGAUGUGAGUGAUAAUAGCUGAAGUGACACAGCCCUCUCUUGGAUUUGGGUACGAGCUGGGAAGGGCACUGGACAUGCACAAGAAGAUCCUCUGUCUUUGCCCGACCCUCCUUCUGGAAAAUAGGGGAACUAGCGAUUGGGAGCUCCUGGCAUUGAAGUUGGCAUUAGAGGAGUGUAGACACUGGCUGGAGGGCGCCAAGGACCCAUUUCUCAAGUCGGAUUUGAAGUCAAAAUCAAGGGGUGUGUCCUCAGUCCUCUGCUGUACUCCCUGUUCACCCACGGCUGUGUGGCUUUGCACGACGCCAACUCCAUCAUCAAGUCUGCUGACGACACCACGGUUGUAGGCCUGAUAACCAACAACGACGAGCUGGAGGAGGUAAGGGAACUAGCAUUGUGGUGCCAGGACAUCAACCUCUUCCUCAACAUCAGCAAUAGAUUUUUGCCUUCAGGAAGCAGAGGAGGGAACACGCCCGACCCACAUCCACGGGACUGCAGUAGAGAGAGUCAGCAGUUUUAAGUUCCUUGGUGUCCACGUCACCGAUGACUUGACAUGGACCAUCAACACCACCACUCUAGUCAAGAGGGCGCAACAGCGCCUCUGCUCCCUAAGACUGCUGAAGAAAUUCGGAAUAUCACCCUGGGUCCUCUCCAAAUACUACCGCUGCACUAUACAGAGCAUCCUCACCAGUUGCAUCACGGCCUGGUACAGGAAUUGCUUUGUCACGACCGCAAGGACCUCCAGCGAGUAGUGAAGACAGCCCAGUACAUCACUGGGGCUGUGUACCCACCCAUCCAGGACAUACACUUGAAACAGUGCCUGAGGAAGUCCUGCAUCAUCAUCGUAGAUAUGAGCUGUUCACUCCCUUGCCGUCGGGCAGAUGGUAUUGGAGCAUGAGGUCUGAUAUCAACAGGCUCAGAGACAGUUUCUAUCUACAAACCAUCACUGCUGAACACUUAAACUGGACUAACCACCUGCACUGACUUUCCUCACCUUAGAACACACGCACACACCCACUCAUUUACUCUUGCUAAUACUGUUCAAUUUAAACACUUUCCCCCCAAUCCCCCCAUCCCUGAUACAUGUAAAUAUUGUUGUCACGUCCUGACCAUAGUAAGUUGUUAUUUUCUAUGGUAGAGUAGGUCAGGGCGUGACAGGGG